AACUGGUCACUAAGCAUAUGGGGAGUGAAGCAAGAACAGGUCCACAGUCAGAAAGACCAGUCAUGAAUCCCUUCCGUGCCUCCCCGUGUUAUGAUUCAUGUCUAUGAGGUUGACUUCCUCCUGUGUAAAACAAGGACCACCUCAGUACCAUCCAAAGAUAUCGAAGAAGUGAGCGCUGAGAAGCAAUCCCUGGGACAUCUCACCAGAGGGAGAACACUGCCUACUUGUCGAAGAACGGUGACAUAGAGUCAACCCCAGCCUGGCCUAAGCCACACAAACAGAAUGCCAUUGCUUGGCUGAAGAAGACAUUCCUGGCCGUGUCGUCUGCUGUUGAGAGCAGUUCUUGGUAGCACCCCCACCUCUGAACUGAGUUGACCUCUGUCUCAUCACGCCUUUCAGAUUUCCUGAUGGUUGUACCACUAUUGGAAAUCCUUAAUAACAAUGACAAUUGAGAAACAUA